GAGGCUGUGGCUUAGUGGCAGAGCAUCUGCUUUGCAUGCAGGCAUACAACCCCCAGGUUCAAACCCUGCCAAUCCCA